UACGUAGGCAGCGAGCGUUGUUCGGAGUUACUGGGCGUAAAGAGUGCGUAGGCGGUUUUCUAAGUUUGGUGUGAAAUCUCCCGGCUUAACUGGGAGGGUGCGCCGAAGACUGGAAGGCUUGAGUAUGGGAGAGGUAAGCGGAAUUCCUGGUGUAGCGGUGAAAUGCGUAGAUAUCAGGAGGAACACCUGCGGUGUAGACGGCUUACUGGACCAUCACUGACGCUGAGGUGCGAAAGCGUGGGGAGCAAACAGG
rnacentral:rRNA from 1 species